rnacentral:rRNA from 1 species
GUGGGGAAUAUUGCGCAAUGGGGGAAACCCUGACGCAGCGACGCCGUGUGAGUGAUGAAGGUUUUCGGAUCGUAAAGCUCUGUCGGGUGGAAAGAAUAAAGGCUGUGUAAAUAAUGCAGUCUGAUGACGGUACCACCAAAGGAAGCACCGGCUAACUCCGUGCCAGCAGCCGCGGUAAUACGGAGGGUGCAAGCGUUGUUCGGAAUUAUUGGGCGUAAAGGGCGUGUAGGCGGGUAUGCAGGUCAGGUGUGAAAUCCCUCGGCUCAACCGAGGAAGUGCAUCUGAAACCGCAUAUCUUGAGUACGAGAGAGGCAGAUGGAAUUCCCAGUGUAGAGGUGAAAUUCAUAGAUAUUGGGAAGAACACCGGUGGCGAAAGCGGUCUGCUGGCUCGAUACUGACGCUGAGACGCGAAAGCGUGGGGAGCAAACAGGAUUAGAAACCCUUGUAGUCC